GACGAACGCUGGCGGCGUGCCUAACACAUGCAAGUCGAACGAAGUUUUUAUGGAAUGCGACUUCGGUCAAAUGAAAUUUAAACUUAGUGGCGGACGGGUGAGUAACGCGUGAGCAACCUGCCUUUCAGAGGGGGAUAACGUUUGGAAACGAACGCUAAUACCGCAUGAUAUAUUUGAAUCGCAUGAUUUGAAUAUCAAAGGAGCAAUCCGCUGAAAGAUGGGCUCGCGUCCGAUUAGGUAGUUGGUGGGGUAACGGCCUACCAAGCCGACGAUCGGUAGCCGGACUGAGAGGUUGAACGGCCACAUUGGGACUGAGACACGGCCCAGACUCCUACGGGAGGCAGCAGUGGGGAAUAUUGCACAAUGGGGGGAAACCCUGAUGCAGCAACGCCGCGUGAGGGAAGACGGUUUUCGGAUUGUAAAACCUCUGUCCUCUGUGAAGAAGAAAGUGACGGUAGCAGAGGAGGAAGCCACGGGCUAACUACGUG
rnacentral:rRNA from 1 species